UUUAUCCAUUAAGCGCCAGAACUUGGGUUUUGUACGGAGAAAGAAUCGGGCCGGCAGACGGCUUGAUUCGCGAAGCACCAAGUUGACGAGGUGAAGGUGUUCGAAUGAUUCGGCGGGGACCUUCCGGUGAUUCACCAAAGCCGUAAACCGAAAACGGAAAAUGAAUGGGCGACCGUUCACACAACGCUUCCGGUGGGUGAAAG
rnacentral:ncRNA from 2 species